CCUACGGGAGGCAGCAGUGGGGAAUAUUGCACAAUGGGGGAAACACUGAUGCAGCGACGCCGCGUGAGCGAUGAAGUAUCUCGGUAUGUAAAGCUCUAUCAGCAGGGAAGAAGAUGACGGUACCUGACUAGGAAGCUACGGCUAACUACGUGCCAGCAGCCGCGGGAAUACGUAGGGGGCAAGAGUUAUCCGGAUUUACUGGGUGUAAAGGGAGCGUAGACGGUGUUGCAAGCCAGCUGUGAAAGCCCGGGGCUCAACCCUGGGACUGCGUGUCGAACUGUGUGGCUGGAGUGUGCGAGAGGCAGGCGGAAUUCGUAGUGUAGCGGUGAAAUGCGUAGAUAUUAGGAGGAACACCAGCGGCGAAGGCAGCCUGCUGGACGAUGACUGACGUUGAGGCUCGAAAGCGUGGGGAGCAAACAGGAUUAGAUACCCGGGUAGUC
rnacentral:rRNA from 1 species